rnacentral:rRNA from 1 species
CAUUGCCGGGUAGCUAAAUGCGGAAGAGAUAAGUGCUGAAAGCAUCUAAGCACGAAACUUGCCAAGAGAUGAGUCAUCCCUGACUUUAAGUCAGUAAGGGUUGUUGUAGACUACGACGUAGAUAGGUUGGGUGUGUAAGUGAUGUGAGUCAUUGAGCUAACCAAUACUAAUUGCCCGAGAGGCUUAACUAUACAACGCUCAAG